rnacentral:rRNA from 1 species
AGUGAACGCUGGCGGUAGGCCUAACACACGCAAGUCGAACGGCAGCACAGUAAGAGCUUGCUCUUACGGGUGGCGAGUGGCGGACGGGUGAGGAAUACAUCGGAAUCUACUUUUUCGUGGGGGAUAACGUAGGGAAACUUACGCUAAUACCGCAUACGACCUACGGGUGAAAGCAGGGGAUCUUCGGACCUUGCGCGAUUGAAUGAGCCGAUGUCGGAUUAGCUAGUUGGCGGGGUAAAGGCCCACCAAGGCGACGAUCCGUAGCUGGUCUGAGAGGAUGAUCAGCCACACUGGAACUGAGACACGGUCCAGACUCCUACGGGAGGCAGCAGUGGGGAAUAUUGGACAAUGGGCGCAAGCCUGAUCCAGCCAUACCGCGUGGGUGAAGAAGGCCUUCGGGUUGUAAAGCCCUUUUGUUGGGAAAGAAAAGCAGCAGGUUAAUACCCCGCUGUUCUGACGGUACCCAAAGAAUAAGCACCGGCUAACUUCGU